rnacentral:rRNA from 1 species
UCCCGCAACGAGCGCAACCCUCGUCUAUGUUGCCAGCGGGUCAUGCCGGGGACUCAUAGAGAGACUGCCGGGGUCAACUCGGAGGAAGGUGGGGAUGACGUCAAGUCAUCAUGCCCCUUAUGUCUUGGGCUGCACACAUGCUACAAUGGCCGGUACAAAGGGCUGCCAUACCGCAAGGUGGAGCGAAUCCCAAAAAGCCCGCCUCAGUUC